rnacentral:rRNA from 1 species
CACGUAGGGGACGAGCGUUGUCCGGAUUCAUUGGGCGUAAAGAGCGCGCAGGCGGUCGUUCAAGUCGCGUGUGAAAGCCCCCGGCUCAACUGGGGAGGGUCACGCGAUACUGAUCGACUCGAAGGCAGGAGAGGGUAGUGGAAUUCCCGGUGUAGUGGUGAAAUGCGUAGAUAUCGGGAGGAACACCAGUGGCGAAGGCGACUACCUGGCCUGUUCUUGACGCUGAGGCGCGAAAGCUAGGGGAGCAAACGGG